rnacentral:rRNA from 1 species
GAUGAACGCUGGCGGCGUGCCUAAUACAUGCAAGUCGAGCGAACAGACGAGAGUGCUUGCACUCUCUGACGUUAGCGGCGGACGGGUGAGUAACACGUGGGUAACCUACCUAUAAGACUGGGAUAACUUCGGGAAACCGGAGCUAAUACCGGAUAAUAUUUAGCUUCGCAUGAAGCAAUAGUGAAAGACGGUUCUGCUGUCACUUAUAGAUGGACCCGCGGUGUAUUAGCUAGUUGGUGAGGUAACGGCUCACCAAGGCAACGAUACAUAGCCGACCUGAGAGGGUGAUCGGCCACACUGGGACUGAGACACGGCCCAGACUCCUACGGGAGGCAGCAGUAGGGAAUCUGCCGCAAUGGACGAAAGUCUGACGGAGCAAUGCCGCGUGAGUGAAGAAGGUUUUCGGAUCGUAAAACUCUGUUGUAAGGGAAGAACAAGUACGUUAGUAACUGAACGUACCUUGACGGUACCUUACCAGAAAGCCACGGCUAACUACGU